GACGAGGGGUUCAAGCGUUGUUCGGAAUCAUUGGGCGUAAAGCGGGUGUAGGUGGCUCUGUAAGUCAGAAGUGAAAGCCCCGAGCUUAACUUGGGAAGUGCUUUUGAUACUGCAGAGCUUGAGUGUGGGAGAGGAUCGUGGAAUUCCAGGUGUAGUGGUGAAAUACGUAGAUAUCUGGAGGAACACCGGUGGCGAAGGCGGCGAUCUGGCCCAACACUGACACUGAGACACGAAAGCGUGGGGAGCGAACAGG
rnacentral:rRNA from 1 species